CGGGUGGCAGGCGUGGCUCACACUUGACCACGGUGUUGGAGAAACUCUGAGCUCCGGGUCUUUAUAAUCACUCUGCGGAGCUCACAGAGACUGCAGGGAGGACAGGAGGACAGAGCAGACUUUAAAGCAGAGGAGUGGAGUUACUCGGAGACUGACUGGAUUAAACACACCAAAGGUUUAUAUUCCAGUUGGACCGUAUCUCUUACCAAGGUCUGCACUACGUAUCAGGAUGUGAUCUUAUUCAGGUGAAGGUAGAAAGUGUGUGUGAGCUGAUGUGAAUUGAGCAG